ACACUCCGGAGAAGUCCAUUUUGGAUACCGAAGGUGCAAGGCGGUUCGCUGGAACCGCUCAAUCUCUCAGGUAAAAGGACGGAGUA
rnacentral:ncRNA from 2 species